rnacentral:rRNA from 1 species
CUGCUGCCUUCCGUAGGAGUCUGGACCGUGUCUCAGUUCCAGUGUGGCUGGUCAUCCUCUCAGACCAGCUAGGGAUCGUCGCCUUGGUGAGCCGUUACCCCACCAACAAGCUAAUCCCAUCUGGGCACAUCCGAUGGCAAGAGGCCCGAAGGUCCCCCUCUUUGGUCUUGCGACGUUAUGCGGUAUUAGCUACCAUUUCCAGUAGUUAUCCCCCUCCAUCAGGCAGUUUCCCAGACAUUACUCACCCGUCCG